UGUAAAUGUUGUUAUGUUGGACGCAUUAGAUUACAUUUAAACAAGGGCAUAUACUCUUAAUGGAAAAGUUUAAACCCUUGUUGCUGUAAUGAACUUAGUGGCUAUUGCAUGUUGCACCAGUCGCUUCUGUUUGCUGGUCAUGACACAUGUUGAGUGAUUUUAUAGUCUAAUCAUUUUCUUUGUAUAUCCCCACGUAGGUUGUACUGAAGCCCUCUGAGCCAGUAACAAUGACACAACAUCACUGUUCGUGUGUUGCUGGCACUGCAUUAUGCAACCACACAGUUGCAUUGCUAUUCCCGUCUGCACACUAUUCACAGAUGGGAACACCAGUUGUCACACCUGUGCACAGCUGCACAGAGGCCAAGCAGCAGUGCCAUAAGCCAAGGACUGUGCUAUGUUUUAAAAGCUAUACCACAUAUCAACAUCAAAUGAUUAUAAUCACAUCGUAAUGCUAAUAAAUUAUUUAAUGAAAACUUAAAUUGUCUCAUGAUUAGAUUUAGAAUAGUGCUCUUGUCUUUUUACAGGGUCUGCAACCUGGGCCCAUAGGCAAAAUGACCAUCACCAAGCCCACCAAAAAGCGCAUGGCAGGAGGGAUUAGAAGUACACUCUACAGUGCCCUUCUUGGACCGCUCCCUGACCUCUCAGUUCUCCAGAUAGAAGAGGCAUACAAGAACUUUGACCCUCUAUCCAAGCCAUUGAUCUGCAGCAUGGGGAUUGUCUGCGGAAAAGCUUUUAGUCGACUCCCAUUUUGGAAAGCGACAGGUGGGGAGCCUCCUGUCUUACCAGCAGCCUCCAAUCAAAACUUGACACGUAGUUCACCAUAAGGAGACACCACACUUCCCUUCACUGCUCCUGGAUGAUUACAGACUGGAGAGCACUUUCAAGGCUGCACAUUUGUGCUCAGUGAAGAAGACCAGCUUCACGUAGUCUCUUCAGAGAAUUUGGCAGUACGUCCAAUCGGCCUCACAACUGCGGACCAGUUUGGAACCAAGCCAGCCCAGGACCUCCUUCACCUGCAGAAUUAUCUGAGACCAGCCACCCGGACAGCUGAUGAAACUGAGGAGUAUUUCUGUCUGUAAUAAAACAUUGAAGGCCAAACUGCUACAGACGAUUUGAGAGAAGACUGAUUCAUGGUCUAACAAACAUAGCUCUAGCUCUGUCAUUUUUCACAGCAGAUGCGGGAGUGUUACCUAGAUGGAUGCAGUGGAUUGAUACGGAUCCAAUGCAAAAAAUAUUCUCUAGCUUAAGCGGUGCUUAUGCCACCCUUUAUAAAGCACAGGUGUAUGUCACAUUUGACAUUGGUGGUGUCACAUAAUUAUGCCACACUUUUAAACCUUUUAAAAGCAUGAUAUAUGGUUAUAGAUAAUUUGUAAAACAUUUUUCGUAGAGUUUAUGAAGGCUAUAUGAAUUACUACUGGAAGAAAAACUCAGUGGCUGUUUUUAAAUCAAUAUCCCUUUUAAGAAGAAUCAUGGUUGCUGUCUAUGGUGUAAAAUAGAUAAAAUGAAUAGUUCGCCCUAAUUCCAAAAUGUGUUGAGGGAAAGCUUGAAAGUCUAUGUUCAUUGUUUUGUGGGGUGUCACACAUGACCAGUUUACGUGGUUGUUUAAAAUAGAUAAACCUGAAAUGAUAGAAAAUAUUACACUUUCAAAUUGUUAUUAAAGUGCAAGUGAUGGUUCAAUAUAACUCGUUGUGCAUUAAGUAUGUAAAGCUUUGCGUAAACUCGGUUCUACACAAAAAAAAAAAAAGGUUCUUAAAUGGUUCAUCCUCAUCAAAUAAGGUUCCUUGUAGAACUCUUUCCAGAUAAAUCAACUUUUGUUAUAUGUGGGGUUCUUGAGGUGGUAUUUACGGGUCUUCAGAAUUCUAAAAGGUUCUUGAAAUAUAUGGAAGCCUGCAGAUGUGUCUCUUUCAUAGCACACAGCAAAUGUGCCAGUGUCCAAUAGUGUUGAUUAUUCAGUGUAACAUUUGAAGUGUUGAUUCAAGUAGGACUGUCCCAGACUAAAAAAAAUCUUGGUCAAACGAAAGUUGUCUGUUCUUAUUUUAAACGUGUAUUUUUCCAUAUAUACUGAUAAAAAUAAAUAUGCUAUCAAUCACAUGA